AACAGUGAUGAUAGCUGUGAGGAUACACCUGUACCCAUGCCGAACACAGAAGUUAAGCUCACAAACGUCGAAAGUACUUGGCUGGAAGCGGCCCGGGAGGAUAGAAAAUCGCUGAUU
rnacentral:rRNA from 1 species